CCUACGGGAGGCAGCAGUGAGGAAUAUUGGUCAAUGGACGAGAGUCUGAACCAGCCAAGUCGCGUGAAGGAUGACUGCACUAUGGGUUGUAAACUUCUUUUAUAAAGGAAUAAAACGAGGCACGUGUGCCUUUUUGCAUGUACUUUAUGAAUAAGCAUCGGCUAACUCCGUGCCAGCAGCCGCGGUAAUACGGAGGAUCCGAGCGUUAUCCGGAUUUAUUGGGUUUAAAGGGAGCGUAGAUGGGUUGUUAAGUCAGUUGUUAAAGUUUGCGGCUCAACCGUAAGAUUGCAAUUGAUACUGGCAGUCUUGAGUACAGUUGAGGUAGGCGGAAUUCGUGGUGUAGCGGUGAAAUGCUUAGAUAUCACGAAGAACCCCGAUUGCGAAGGCAGCUUACUAGACUGUGACUGACAUUGAUGCUCGAAAGUGUGGGUAUCAAACAGGAUUAGAUACCCUUGUAGUC
rnacentral:rRNA from 1 species